GAAGUGGUUUUAUUAGUUCUAGUGUAAAAGUAUUGUAUAAACAAAGUAAAUGCAAUAUUACUAAAUUGAUCUGACCUGAUUAUUUCUAAGAUGCAUUUUGUAACCUAAACCUAAGAUGAUUCUUUGUCAAUAUUUUUUAAUGCCUGUAUGUUCAGUUCAUGUGAUGUACUGUUUGUAAUUAUAAACCUUAUGAUAUUAUUGUAAUUAACGUAAAAUUUCCGUCUGCUCCAGGCCUAAUUAGUGGUGUAAUCAAGGCAGUCCUACCUCUUAAUUACAACAGCUGAACUUAUUAAACUUAUUAUAUCUCCUAAUUUUGCUUUAGAUAUUUGCAUUGAUUUUGCGUAGCAUUUCAUUUAUUUCAUUUACCUGAUUUUUUGUAUAUACGAAUGUUCUUGUGUAAGAAUUAUUUAUCCGUUUUGCUUUUAUCUGUAACAUUGUAUUUUUAUCCGAUUGAGAAUUUGCGUAUUUUUUUUUAUUACGCAUAUUCUAUGAACAAGUUUAUUUUGCUUCUAGUCCAACCACAUCAUUCAUCUAAAUAUUUUAAUCCUUACUUCGCUAUACGUCGUGGAUUUUAGAUAAGUAAACGUAGAACUGAUUUUAUUUUUUGUUACACCUAGACCAAAAUGAUCCUGGCUGAAAAGACGAUGGCAUAAAACCGAGCUUAAAUAUAUCUAUUCGUAAUUAGAUAAAAUAAAGGAAUAGUUUGCAAUGAGUUGAAUACAACAAUCGCUCAAGAUCGUAGUUCAAGUGAUUUUCGAAAAUAACGCAUAAAAGCCAAGAUCAAAUCGUAGAUUAGUAUCAUGUUCGCAAACAUUAUGAUUUUUUACUUUUUCUAUUUUUAUUAUUGUGUAAGAUUUGCUGACUAAUUAUGUCUGUGAUUUAAACCCUCUCUGUCUGUAUAAUUAAUGUGUGUAUUUGUAUUAAACUGUAUUUUUAAUCAACAGAGCUUGCAAAUAAAUGAAGAAAUUAUUA